AUAUAAAACUGUAUACAUUUGGAACAAUACAGAGAGGAGUAGCAUGGCCCCUGAGCCAGGAUGGCACACAAAUUUGUGAAGUGUUCCAUAUUUUU
rnacentral:snRNA from 1 species